rnacentral:rRNA from 1 species
AUUGAACGCUGGCGGCAGGCCUAACACAUGCAAGUCGAACGAGUGGCGGACGGGUGAGUAAUGUCUGGGAAACUGCCCGAUGGAGGGGGAUAACUACUGGAAACGGUAGCUAAUACCGCAUACCAUCGGAUGUGCCCAGAUGGGAUUAGCUUGUAGGUGAGGUAACGGCUCACCUAGGCGACGAUCCCUAGCUGGUCUGAGAGGAUGACCAGACACACGGGAAAUGAGACACGGUCAAGAACCCUACGGGGGGCAGGAGGGGGGAAGAUUGCAAAAUGGGCGAAAGCCUGAUGCAGCAAUGCCGCGUGUAUGAAGAAGGCCUGCGGGUUGUAAAGUACUUUCAGCGGGGAGGCGUUACCCGCAGAAGAAGCACAGGCUAACUCCGUGCCAGCAGCCGCGGUAAUAC